UUUUGCUCUGCACACAUAUACACAUACUACUCGAAUGGCCUACGCGGAGAAAGAGAAAGAAAGAGAGGGAUAAAGAUAAGGGAGAGUGAAACAGAACGUCGUCUGGGAUGAUAAACGCCUCUGGUCUUUUUUGGCGGGCCCAUGAAUGAAACAAUUGCCCGGAAUGACUGACUAGCAGAAUCGGAGACUGACAGAAUGGGAGACUGGCAGACUGGCAGACUGAUUGCUACCAAUUGCCCACUGUGGCAUGACAAGGUCGGGGGGAAAGUGCGGGCAUGGGGGAGAGGAAAGCCGCCAGCAAUAAACACUUUGCCACGACAAAAGUCUGAUGAUGUAGACGAUGAUGAACUAGAUUCUGGGGAUGAUGCUGAUGACGGCAAGGCUGAUGAUAAUGGAAAUGAUUUUCAUUGGCACGUUCCCCCAUUUCAUUUGGGCCUAUCCUUCAUUGGCAUUGCGUUGUAGCCGGCCCUUAGCCUCACGUUGAAUUCAGUGGGGCAGGUUAUUUGUGUGCCUUCUUAUACAUAUUUCCAUUUGUUUUUGAAUCAUUUGUAGUUCUUUUCUUUAUCAUUAGAAAGAGUCUUCUAUGAAUUUAGUCUGACUGGAGUCCGCUGCACAUAUGGGACCCGGAGCAGACAACAAAUGGCAGGAGUGAAGGUGGACAGCAAAGGACUGAGCGCACGUCUUCUGUGACAAGUGUUGGCUAAAAGUCUGAGGUUGUUGCAAUCAUUUUCGAUUCUCCUCCCCAUUCUCGCUACCUUUCGUUCCCCCUUGGCCCAGGAAAAACUGAAAACUCUGAAGGGACAAAACACCAACCACCGCGUUCAGAGAGAGGCACAGGAGCAGAGGACGACCGGAAGUCCCCUGGCCGUGGCCGUGGGCAGAGGAAAACGCUUGUAAAACGAGCACACGAGAGAGCACGAGCCCCGAGGCAGUACGAAGGCUGAAAAGGAAACGACAAUUACGAGGACAUGCCGGCCUGUUGGUCCUGCGGUCUAGUCAGUCACAGCCGUGCAAUCGUCGGGACAACACGCGGAUAUCGUUCGCUCGACUCUAGAACUGACAACUUUGAAUCGAGAGCCGGGGGCUGCAACCACAUCUGCGGAUCCUUUCGACUGCACUCGUAAUUUUCUUUCAGCGGUUAUGUAGGAUGAACCUGUGCGACUUCGUAUACGUAUACUGAAUGUAUCCUGAGUGUAUCCUAUCCGGUAUACCUUCAGUAUACGUAACACGAGGAAACACCAGCAACGCGGGAUACGUCGAACUGAAACCGAGCACUGUGAUUUAUUCUAGCACUUUUUAACACUUUGUCUUAGCCGUUUUCUCACUUUUCACCUUGUAAUCGAAAUAAAAUAGUUCACAAAAUACCACUUUAAAAUCAAA